UACGUAGGGUGCAAGCGUUAAUCGGAAUUACUGGGCGUAAAGCGUGCGCAGGCGGUUUUGCAAGGCAGAUGUGAAAUCCCCGGGCUCAACCUGGGAACUGCAUUUGUGACUGCAUAGCUAGAGUACGGUAGAGGGGGAUGGAAUUCCGCGUGUAGCAGUGAAAUGCGUAGAUAUGCGGAGGAACACCGAUGGCGAAGGCAAUCCCCUGGACCUGUACUGACGCUCAUGCACGAAAGCGUGGGGAGCAAACAGG
rnacentral:rRNA from 1 species